GUUUAUUUAUAAACGUAUGUGUUCCUUUUCUUUCGUACGUGUUUAUUGAUAUAUCCGUACUGUAUGUUUUCGGACGGUACUAGCUCUUACUGCCAAUAUAGGAGUAUUACAUACAUAUAU